rnacentral:rRNA from 1 species
GACGAACGCUGGCGGCGUGCUUAACACAUGCAAGUCGAACGGAAAGGCCUGCUUUCCCUUGUGGAUUGCGGGUACUCGAGUGGCGAACGGGUGAGUAACACGUGAGUGAUCUGCCCCCAACUUGGGUAUAAGCCUGGGAAACUGGGUCUAAUUCCCGAUAGGACUGCAGGGUGGUGCCUGUGGUGGAAAACGAUUUUCUAGUGGUUGGGGAUGAGCUCGCGGCCUAUCAGCUUGUUGGUGGGGUAAUGGCCUACCAAGGCGGCGACGGGUAGCCGGCCUGAGAGGGUGGACGGGCACAUUGGGACUGAGCUACGGCCCAGACUCCUACGGGAGGCAGCAGUGGGGAAUAUUGCACAAUGGGCGGAAGCCUGAUGCAGCGACGCCGCGUGGGGGAUGACGGCCUUCGGGUUGUAAACUCCUUUCGACCGCGAGGAAGCCACCUGGUUGGAAGGGUGGUGACGGUAGUGGUAGAAGAAGCACCGGCUAACUACGUG